rnacentral:lncRNA from 1 species
AUGAUUCUCAUGGAGCAGCAGCAGCUGGAGGAGGCUUCCAGGCAGGAGGUCUUGAGUCCCCCACACACUCCAGGGACAACAGAACCUUCUCCCAUAUGGCCAAGAUUAGUUUUCACAGGACGAGGCAGAUGUGGCUGGUUUCCUAUCCAAUGUCCAUUUGACUCCUUCCACAACUUUCUCCAGGUUUCAGAGAAAAACAUUUGCUUACCCAAACCUCUCUGCAGCCAGGGAGCCCCUGUGAGUUCUUGCAAAUGAACUAAAAAGGGAAACACAGGCUGG